GAUGAACGCUAGCGGCAGGCUUAAUACAUGCAAGUCGAGGGGUAACAUGGUAGCAAUACGGAUGACGACCGGCAAACGGGUGCGGAACACGUACAGAACCUUCCUUUAAGCGGGGGAUAGCCCAUAGAAAUGUGGAUUAAUACCCCAUAGUAAUGUUUAAUGGCAUCAUUAGAUAUUUAAAGAUUUAUCACUUAAAGAUGGCUGUGCGGCUGAUUAGGUAGUUGGUGCGGGUAACGG
rnacentral:rRNA from 1 species